rnacentral:misc_RNA from 1 species
AAAACCUCCAAUUUUCACAAAACGAUUGAAGCUACAGAAUUUAAAUAGAAGAAACAGAAAUCCCAGAUACAAAAUUAAAGAACCCAAAUCAAAUAAGGCCUCCAAGACAUAAUAGCAUUAGAUGACGUGCAAAUCCAGAAAUGGCAAGAAUCAAAUAAAACUUAAAUUCAUAUUCCACUGUUAUUAUUUGCAAUUAAGGAAUUGUCACUAAAGAAGAAUGAAUUCAUGUUAUUUCCAUCCAUCAGAAAAAGAAAAUUAUGAAAACUAACACAGAGAUGAGAUUGAAUUUGAUACCUGUAGGUGACAAGUGAAAAGAUAUCAAGAACAGAGAUAGAGAUAAAAAGAGUUUGCUGGAGAGACAAAGGGUCGUUACUAU